GUUGUAUAGUCAAGUAAUUAAGUGCAUGUGGUGGAUGCCUUGGCAGUCAGAGGCGAUGAAAGACGUGAUAGCCUGCGAAAAGCUCCGGGGAGGCGGCAAAUAUCCUUUGAUCCGGAGAUGUCUGAAUGGGGGAACCCACCUACUUUAAGGUAGGUAUUGCAACAUGAAUACAUAGUGUUGCAAGGCGAACGAGGGGAAGUGAAACAUCUCAGUACCCUUAGGAAAAGAAAUCAAUUGAGAUUCCCUCAGUAGCGGCGAGCGAACGGGGAUCAGCCCAUUAAGUUAUGUGUGUUUUAGUGGAACGCUCUGGGAAGUGCGAACGUAGAGGGUGAUAUUCCCGUACACGAAAGGGCACACAUAAUGAUGACGAGUAGGGCGAGGCACGUGAAACCUUGUCUGAAUAUGGGGGGACCAUCCUCCAAGGCUAAAUACUCCUGACUGACCGAUAGUGAACCAGUACCGUGAGGGAAAGGCGAAAAGAACCCCUGUGAGGGGAGUGAAAUAGAUCCUGAAACCGCAUGCAUACAAGCAGUGGGAGCACCUUCGUGGUGUGACUGCGUACCUUUUGUAUAAUGGGUCAGCGACUUAUAUUCAGUAGCNAGGUUAACCGUAUAGGGGAGCCGUAGAGAAAUCGAGUCUUAAUAGGGCGUUUAGUUGCUGGGUAUAGACCCGAAACCAGGCGAUCUAUCCAUGAGCAGGUUGAAGGUUGGGUAACACUAACUGGAGGACCGAACCCACUGUCGUUGAAAAGCCAGGGGAUGACUUGUGGAUAGGGGUGAAAGGCUAAUCAAGCCUGGUGAUAGCUGGUUCUCCCCGAAAGCUAUUUAGGUAGCGCCUCGGACGAAUACCAUAGGGGGUAGAGCACUGUUUCGGCUAGGGGGUCAUCCCGACUUACCAAACCGAUGCAAACUCCGAAUACCUAUGAGUACUAUCCGGGAGACAGACUGCGGGUGCUAACGUCCGUAGUCAAGAGGAAAACAAUCCAGACCGCCAGCUAAGGCCCCAAAAUCAUAGUUAAGUGGGAAACGAUGUGGGAAGGCAUAGACAGCUAGGAGGUUGGCUUAGAAGCAGCCACCCUUUAAAGAAAGCGUAAUAGCUCACUAGUCGAGUCGGCCUGCGCGGAAGAUGUAACGGGGCUAAAACUAUGUGCCGAAGCUGCGGAU
rnacentral:rRNA from 1 species